GUUACAAUGGCAGGUACANAGGGGUGCUACCGGGUGACCGGAUGCCGAUCUCGAAAACCUGUCCCAGUUCGGACUGGAGUCUGCAACCCGACUCCACGAAGUUGGAUUCGCUAGUAAUCGCGCAUCAGCCAUGGCGCGGUGAAUACGUUCCCGGGCCUUGUACACACCGCCCGUCAAGCCAUGGGAGCCGGGGGCGCCUGAAGUCCGGGACCGCGAGGACCGGCCUAAGGCGAAACUGGUGACUGGGGCUAAGUCGUAACAAGGUAAC
rnacentral:rRNA from 1 species